AUCUUCUUCAAAAAAAUUUCGAAUUUAUCAUUUCUCUCUCUCUCCCUCUCUCUCUUUCCUCAAUUUGUUUCUCUCUCAAUUCAAUCUCACGACCAUUCACGAUUAGAGAAAAUACAGAAGCAAAAAGGAAGACUGGAAAAGGCGUGAGUUGAAGAAGAGGGCAAAGGGAGAGGUCUGCGAGUUUGACGGUGUUGUAGUUGGUUGGUAUGCAUAUUGAGGUUGGUGAAUGAAUCUUUCUGUGGGAGAGGAGGCUGAGACCCUGCAGCAGCAGCGGCGGGUUUUGCCUUAGGAGUCGUGUUUAACUGAAGCUCGAGGCUGUGUUUGCUUUUGAUUUUACAUGCUUAGUGUUUCGGUGGAAUAGCUGCUGCGUUUUCAAACUUUGGUUCGGGUUGUGGAUCUCUUGGUAAUGUGAAGGCUCAUGAGGUUUUCGAAGACACUGUUGCUGUUAUUGCUUGAGCUUUGAGAAGUUCUUCAUCGCUCAAGGUCUCUAAAGAUGAUAUGAUGAAGAGGCAAUAUUCUUUGAUGAAUUUUUUAGAAAUGCAAAACGAAAGCAAUUGGAGUCCAAGACAUUGGAUUUAUACUCACCAAAUAAAGGAAUGCAAGAAAAAUUUUAUAAAUGAAGCUCAUGAGAAAUUGAAGGUUUUGCACAUAUACCAACAAGUUGCAGCUUAAAGUGUUGUCGUAAAUGAUAUAUAUUAUAGAUUGCAAAUCUUUUGGAUUGCACUUCAUGGUCAGGGGUUGGACCGGGGCUAAUGGACGCUGUUACUCAAGGUGCUCUGCAACUUAUUGAAGGAGGAUGUGAAGCUCCAAUCCACACAAUUUUUUUAGUGUUCAGUUGCCACAACAUGUUGGAGACAAUAGGUUCUUCUAUGGCAUCCCUUCAUUGAGUUUUCAAAAAUAUCUCAGGAACUGAAGACAAUAUACACGUAUGAGAAGAAAGUGUAUGGCUUCAUUUCCAAGUGUUUGGUACCCACUAGAAUCUUUAAAUAUGUAAGUAGUCAGAGGAACUUCCUCAAAUCUAAUAUAGUUAUAUGAAUUUUUUUAGAUAAUAUUUAUAUUUUAUUGGAUGGUUAAGAGAAAAUAUGUAGGUGUUAGUUACAACUUUUCAUGUGAUUUAAUGAUGUAAAAGUUCCUUUUUUCUGCAUUUAUUUAUUUAUAUUUUGUUUCAACUUGAGUUUUUCUUUCUUGGAAAAAAUAAAAGAAUCUGAAUGACUUGGGUAUGUGUUGCAAUGGUAUGUGUUGUCAACAUUCACCGGGUGGUUCGUUGCACAAAUAGGGAGGAUGAUUCAGAGUGAAAAAUAGGCAAAGCUAAUAAUAAGGAGCUUGGAGUGACUGAGGGAUUGGAGUAGGGGCAGGUUGUUACUGUUGAUUUAGGCGUCUAAAAAAAUAUGUGGAUACAUAUAAUGUGUUGAUGAUGUUAAGUCCUUUCCAGUCUUUUUUUAAAGCUUAAAUGCAAACCUAAAAGUAGAAUAACAAUCUUUUGCAUUAGGAUAUGAAAAAAGCAUUCCUUUUUCAAAUAAAAAAAUUUAUGCAACAAAAAGACUAUGUUAAGUUGAGGAAGAUAUGGUAACCUUUCAACAAGGAAUAUUUAAAAGAAAAGGUUGCUAUGUCUAUCUUUAAUUACUUAAUACUUUAAAUU